GAUGAACGCUGACGGAAUGCUUAACACAUGCAAGUCUACUUGAAUUUGGGUUUUUUAACUUAGAUUUGGGUGGCGGACGGGUGAGUAACGCGUAAAGAACUUGCCUCACAGUUAGGGACAACAUUUGGAAACGAAUGCUAAUACCUGAUAUUAUGAAUAUAUGGCAUCAUAUAAUUAUGAAAGCUAUAAGCGCUGUGAGAGAGCUUUGCGUCCCAUUAGCUAGUUGGAGAGGUAACGGCUCACCAAGGCGAUGAUGGGUAGCCGGCCUGAGAGGGUGAACGGCCACAAGGGGACUGAGACAUGGCCCUUACUCCUACGGGAGGCAGCAGUGGGGAAUAUUGGACAAUGGACCAAGAGUCUGAUCCAGCAAUUCUGUGUGCACGAUGACGUUUUUCGGAAUGUAAAGUGCUUUCAGUUGGGAAGAAAAAAAUGACGGUACCAACAGAAGAAGUGACGGCUAAAUACGUG
rnacentral:rRNA from 1 species